rnacentral:lncRNA from 1 species
CUCUUCUAUGGACCAGCAUGGUGGAGCUAUGCACUGGGGUCAUAGGUGCUAUUCCGGACCCAAUUGAGCUACCAGUAUGUUUUUGGACUGUGGAAGGAAACAUCAGGGAGAUAGGAAGGUGAAAAUCUGCAGAGUAAAUUCCUGCAUUGCAGCCUGGAAUGUCUUCAAGGGAUGCAGGUCCUGAGGAUGAAACCACUUCCGGUUUUAAUAACUUCAGUGAGCUAAGUAUUUGGAUUAGGACUAAUGAAAUUACUUGUGUUUUCAGCUCUCACCCAGAUGCCAAUUGAAAAGCCGCUGUAAAGCUCUUAAGACUGGAGCCCUGGAGAACUGGAGCUGCCCAUCACUGUUACAGAGAACUGAAGGUUGUUUAUGUGAGCAAACCCAAGAUUUUAACCACAACCCCAGGCGCAACACACACUAUCCGAUCCAUCCAUCCCAGAAAUGCACUACGCCUGCUGUGUCCACAAGACCUGUCUCCAUCUGUAGUAGAUUUGGGGGGAAUGCUAUUGAACGGCCAAUAGAAGUGACUUCAUGAUAACAGGUUUGUGUUACACUAUAACCCCGUAACCUUUGCAUUGGAUACACAGUCAACACAG